rnacentral:pre_miRNA from 1 species
UAGGUUUGUUCUAAGUCAAAUUUAUCCAAACUUGACCAAGUUAUAGAAAAAUAUAAAAAUAUCUAUACUUCCAAAUAUAUGCACUGUCAAAAUAUAUUCCAUAGUGAAUUCAAUGAAACAAAUUUAAUAGAAGAGAUGUUGUUAUAUUUUUCUAUAAACUUGGUCAAAAAUGGAAAAGUGUGACUUGGGACAAACCUAA